UACGGAGGGUGCAAGCGUUAUCCGGGAUUCACUGGGGUUUAAAGGGUGCGAGGCGGGCAGGUAAGUCCGUGGUGAAAUCUCUGAGCUUAACUCAGAAACUGCCAUGGAUACUAUUUUGUCUUGAAUAUUGUGGAGGUAAGCGGAAUAUGUCAUGUAGCGGUGAAAUGCUUAGAUAUGACAUAGAACACCAAUUGCGAAGGCAGCCUUACUACACAGUUAUUGACGCUGAGGCACGAAAGCGUGGGGAUCAAACAGGA
rnacentral:rRNA from 1 species